CCCAUUACCAAAUUUAUAUUAAUUAUUAUGCUCAAUCACACAAGCCCUAUGGACUUCUCUAUAAAAACGGAGUGGAUUUGUCUUCCUCUCCUCCAUUGAACUCUUGUCUCUGUACUAGGAGAAAAGUAACCAAGAAGAAUGCAAGAAUGAGGGUUUUGGUGCUUGCUCUAGCCCUGAUGAUGGUUGGAUCCUGCUUUGCUGGGACCAACAAAGAAUUUGUUGUUGAUGAAAGGUAUGAAGCUGAGAAAUGGAGCAGCCGGCACCUUGUCGGAGACCACCAGGGAAUUGAUGAGCAUGAGGAGAACGAUAAUUGCUGUGACCACCAUUCCACUCCCAGGAGUAAAUAUGGUGGCGGUGAUGAUCCAGGUGGCAAAGUUUAGCACAUCUGAAUCAUAAUUAAGCACCAUAAUAAUGUUUGUGAUAUGUUUUCUUCUUCUUCUUUUUCUUCUUCUUCCUUGGAAUGAUAAGUCAUAGUAGAUCUUGCCAGCUCCAAUCAUAACUGAGGAGCUAUAUCUAUAUAUAAUCGAUAUGGUUUUUGGAACUUUAAAGUUCAAACUUUAAUUAGUCUGUGUACAUCUUGUGUAAUCACACCAUGUGAAUAAAUAAAUCUUGAUGUUGUUUAA